CUUGGUCAUUUAGAGGAAGUAAAAGUCGUAACAAGGUUUCCGUAGGUGAACCUGCGGAAGGAUCAUUUGUGAGCGAGCCAUUAUCCGAUGGCAAGCAUAUAUCCAAAUACAUUGUGAACCUGUUUGACCUUCAAGGUCGUCGCAAUACAUUGUGUAAAGAACGUCAUAACUGUAAAUGUAAUAAAACUUUCAACAAAGGAUCUCUUGGCUCUUGCAUCGAUGAAGAACGCAGCGAAGCGCGAAAUGUAGUGUGAAUCGCAGAACAUUGUGAAUCAUCGAAUCUUUGAACGCACAUUGCGCCUCCCUUUGCGGGGAGGCAUGCCUGUCUGAGUGUCAUUUAACUCAUACCUUCUUGGUGUGUUGGGCCUCGCCCCAGCGGCGUAGCCUCAAAGUCAUUGGUCUAAAGGCGGACAAGAUCCAUUGGACCGACCGUUCGGGACCAUAAACCUCUGACUUGACCUCAGAUCAGGUAGGGCUACCGCCUGAACUUAAGCAUAUCAAUAAAGCGGAGGAA
rnacentral:rRNA from 1 species